rnacentral:rRNA from 1 species
AUUGAACGCUGGCGGCAGGCCUAACACAUGCAAGUCGAGCGGAGCGGCGGACGGGUGAGUAAUGCCUAGGAAUCUGCCUGGGAGUGGGGGAUAACGUCCGGAAACGGGCGCUAAUACCGCAUAAUAUCAGAUGAUCCUAGGUCGGCUUAGCUAGGUGGUGGGGUAUAGGCCUACUAAGGCGACGAUCCGUAACUGGUCUGAGUGGAUGAUCAGUCACACUGGAACUGAGACACGGUCCAGCCCCCUACGGGGGGCAGCAGGGGGGAAUAGUGGACAAUGGGAGAAAGCCUGAUCCAGGCAUGCCGCGUGUGUGAAGAAGGUCUUCGGAUUGUAAAGCUCUUUAAGUUGGGAGGCGUUACCAACAGAAUAAGCACCGGCUAACUUCGUGCCAGCAGCCGCGGUAAUA